AAAGCCUGAGGAAGACUAUUAAAAUGGAUGAAUUACCGGGGAAAGAACUCGCUGACAUGUGAUUCCUCUUGGAAAUGAAGACUUGGUUCAUUUGGCAAAACAUCACUUCUGUUUCAAAAUGUAACUCCCUGGCUGGCACUGUAGCAUUAGAAGAGGUAAACAUAGCAACUGCUAAUAUAACUUGACCCAAAGACCUUUUGUUUUCCUGGAUUGGGGACGUUUUUCUGGCCUGAUGGGGAUUAACAUAGUCAUUCCACUCCUCUCCCACACUUUCCGUCACCAGAUGCGGAAUAAUGGUGUUCUUUGACUUCCAGGAUUUGGUUGAUAGUGACUGCUGACCCUGCUUCUUCUAGGCUACCUUCCUCUUUGAAUUGGUUCUGUGAGAUCUCCUCCCAACGAAAGUAGGGCAGAAAUGGUGCUGGUAAACAAAUCAGUUCGGUGGAGUUUUGCUUUUGUCAUAAAAAAAAAAGGGUGCAAAUCCCAGUCUUGACUUCCAUGGACUCUGUCAGAUCCAAAUGCUGGAAUCCCAGGUCUUCACUGCCUAGUGCUUCCUGUGGUUCAGGAGCCUGCAGGAAGGAUAUUGGCAGGAAAUGAGGGGGAGAGAAGAGGUUGUCUGCAGACAUUGAACAAGACCCAAGGAGGAUUUCAUCUGGGGCAAUGUGACAUAUAAAUAAAAUAAGACCAACCAAAUACACCAUAUUAUAAGAUGCCUAAAAUGUAACCCAAGAUAUAUCUCAACAAUCCUCUUUAAAUGCAUAGAUGAGUUUAGGAGAAACUAAGCGCAAUCUCAAAGAGGCCACCUAUUACCUAAACUUAAAUUCAGGUAGGUAACCAAGUGUUAAUGCUGUUAACAGUUUUGGGGCAAAUGCCACUCCCCCAUAACUUUUGGUUUUAAAGGCUAAGCAAGACAAAGCCUCUGCGAAGACAAAGUCCAGGAAACAAAAGGACCUCCCCCUAAAUGAAAGCUGGAGGCUACCCUCUGUGAAAGAGUUUGAUAACAAUAAAAUGUAUAUGUCUUGGUCCUGUCUCUGA